GCUCGUGUCGUGAGAUGUUGGGUUAAGUCCCGCAACCGUAGCGCAACCCUCGUUCUAUGUUGCCAGCGCGUAAUGGCGGGGACUCAUAGGAGACUGCCGGGGUCAACUCGGAGGAAGGUGGGGAUGACGUCAAAUCAUCAUGCCCCUUAUGUCUUGGGCUUCACGCAUGCUACAAUGGCCGGUACAAAGGGCUGCGAUACCGCAAGGUGGGGCGAAUCCCAAAAAGCCGGUCUCAGUUCGGAUUGAGGUCUGCAACUCGACCUCAUGAAGUCGGAGUCGCUAGUAAUCGCAGAUCAGCAACGCUGCGGUGAAUACGUUCCCGGGCCUU
rnacentral:rRNA from 1 species